GGUCCCUUCUGAGAGAGUGGAACACUGUACACUCAUCUGAAAACUCACAAGCACAGCUCCUUAUUCCCACCUUUGCCCCAAAUUAGCCUCUAUUUCUCCCUCUUUUACAAAUCAUCUACUCUUCAGGGUUCUUAUUCCUACCCUCCACAGCUCCAUGAACUUCUUUCUUCUUUUCCAUCCUUUCUGUUCAGGCCUGUCCUGUCCUAGUCACUCAUCCUUCAUGCUCUAUUUUCCUUCAGCUCUUAUGCCAGAACCCCCUCCAUCGUCUACGUUAUCUGCAUCACUUCCAGGUCCACCCUUUCUUUCGGGGUGUGGCCUUCGACCCAGAGCUCCUACAGAAGCAGCCAGUGAACUUUGUCACGGAGACACAAGCUACCCAGCCCAGUUCAGCGGAGACCAUGCCCUUUGACGACUUUGACUGUGAUCUGGAGUCCUUCUUGCUCUACCCUAUCCCUGCUUGAGCCUCUCUACUGUAAAUUGGGGCCCGGCUGGGAGCCUGAAGAUCUCCAUCCCUGCCUACUCAGUAUGACCACCUUGAUAAUCCAGUUUGUUUUUAUUUUGUAGCCUCUUACCGUUCUGCUCUCCUAGGCUUUAGACCAGAGUUCCAACCUGGACAUUCUGCUACUGGCAGCCACAGCUGGCCCUAUUCCUUCCCUAUCAUACAACCUACCUCUCAAUUCAACAUGUCAGAUCAGGGUGGUGACCUUUUCCUUUUCUUUACUUCUCCAGUGCUCUUUACCCUCAGGCUGUCAGCCAGAGCUGCUUCUGCUUGUUUCUCUGCCAUGUUUCCUUUCUUGAGCAAUAAUAAUACUUCAUGGGCUCCCAGGGUGCUAUUGAUGUGUUUAAUAGGCUUGUCAGAAGCAAUAUGAAUUUUUUUUUUUUUUUUGAGACAGAGUCUCACUCUGUUGCCCAGGCUGGAGUGCAGUGGUGCGUUCUCAGCUCACUGCAACCUCCGUCUCCUGGGUUGAAGUGAUUUUCAUGCCUCAGCCUCCCGAGUAGCUGGGAUUACAAAUGCACACCAUUAUGCCCAGCUAAUUUUUGUAUUUUUUAGUAGAGACAGGGUUCACCAUGUUGGCCAGGCUGAUCUCAAACUCCUGACCUCAAGUGAUCGGCCUGCCUUGGCCUCCCAAAGUGCUGGAAUUACAGGUAGGUGUGAGCCACUGCACCAGACCCUUUUUUUUUUUUUUUUUUUUUUUUUUUGAGAUAGGGUCUCACUCUCGUCACCCAGGUUGGAGUGCAGUGGCACGAUCUCAGCUCACUGCAACCUUCACAGGCAUGAGCCUCCACACCCAGCCUGUGAAUUUUUCAAAAGUCUCAAAAGCUGGCAUUUCAACCCCUAAAUAAUGCAGCUAAAAAAUAUAGUCUGGGAGCUUGAGGCCAGUCUGCAAUAAAUCUAAUUUUUAAAAAUUGAAAAGUGAAUAAAAUAAUCUAGUGAGGAAGAAAAUAGAAACUGAAACAUGGGUGGGUUAAAUGUCUUCUCUAGGUCUAUAAUUGCAACAGUUAUCCAAAAUAAAACCUCUUUGAAAAGCAUAGGAUUUUUAAACUGACAAUUUCUCCUAGUGAGCCCAUGAUUCAGUUUCUGAUGGGCAAACCAAGAGAUUAAGAGGCAUGCAUCAACCUUAAGAUUUAAGGUUAUUUGGGAGGCCAAGGUGGGCAGAUCAGUUGAGGUCAAGAGUUCGAGACCAGCGUGGCCAACAUGGUGAAACCUUGUGUCUACUAAAAAAAUACAAAAAUUAGCUGGGUGUGGUGUUGCACACCUGUAGUCCCAGCUACUCAGAAGGCUGAAGCAGGAGAACUGCUUGAACCCUGGAGGCCAAGGUUGCAGUGAGCCAAGAUUGUGCCAUUGAACUCCUGGGUGACAGAGGUAGACUCUGUCUCAAAAAAAAAAAAAAAAAAAAAAAAAAAAGAUUUAAGGUUAGAGACAUAUCUCAAUAACCUUUUCCUUUAGUAAGGAAAAUCAUCUGGACCUUAAAUUUGUAUACAGUUUUGGCCUUUAUGACUUCUUUUCAUUUUUCUUAAACUAAUUUCUCACAAUUUUCAUUUUUGUCCUGAGACUUGAAGGGAAAGUAAGUUUUAAUCUAGACCAUAUUAUUUAGUUACAUCUAAUCUCUCUAGACAAAAGACAGUCUGGAGAGUACUCUUUAGUUCUAUUUAUUAAUUUUGUCUCUAGAUUGAGCCAGAUUUCCCCAUGCAUAGCUGGCAUUUUAUUGGCCUCUGCAGAAUUGCUUUUUCUGGAUUGGACUUUGGUAAUCCAUAUGAAAAUCUCUAUGAAAUUUAAUUGCUCGCCAGGUGUGGUGGCUCACACUUGUAAUCCCAGCACUUUGGGAGGCUGAGGUGGGCGGAUCACCAGAGGUCAGGAGUUCGAGACCAGCCUGGCCAACAUGGUGAAACCCCGUUUCUCCCCAAAAAAUACAAAAAUUAGCUGGUCAUGAGGGCACACACUGUAGUCCCAGCUACUCAGGAGGCUGAGGGGGAAGAAUUGCUUGAACCCAGGAGAUGGAGGUUGCAAUGAGUGAAGAUCGUGCCACUGCAUCCAGCCUGAGCAACAGAGUGAGAUCUUGUCUCAGGAAAAAAAUAAAUUUAAUUGCUGUGGAUACUGUAAAGGGUGUUUAUCGUAACAGUUCAUAAUAUUCUAUUUAAGAAUGCGUGGGAGAAAUUUUCUCUGGACCCAGUUAUGCUUUUCCUGAAUUGCUGUUUGGUUUUUACCUUAAGGACACUAAAUAUUCAGCUGAUUGUAUUUUUCUGUUUGUACUGAUACUAGACCAUUUAGAGCCCAAUUUGUGGUCUACCUUCAGCAAGUGUUUAUGUAUUUUGUAUGCUAGUCAUGUUCUUGGUUCUGUCUUCCUUUUCUACUUUUAUUUUCCUUAUUCUCAUUUUUCUAAGUUUUAAUCGUUUUAUAUUACUAUAAUAUCUGCAUCUUGUAAGCCUUUUUGUAAUAAGGUUGGGAUAUAAAUAAAUAAGGCAAUGUAUCCUUU
rnacentral:lncRNA from 1 species